AUUGAACGCUGGCGGCAGGCCUAACACAUGCAAGUCGAGCGGAGCGGCGUACGUGUGAGUAAUGCCUAGGAAUCUGCCUGGUAGUGGGGGAUAACGUCCGGAAACGGACGCUAAUCCCGCAUACUCUCACGUCGCCCUAGGUUGAAUUAUCUAGUUGGUGGGGUAAAGGACUACCAAGGCGACGAUCCGUAGUUGGUCUGAGGGGAUGAUCAGUCACACUGGAACUGAGACACGGUCCAGACGCCUACGGGAGGCAGCAGUGGGGAAUAUUGGACAAUGGACGAAAGCCUGAUCCAGCGAUGCCGCGUGAGUGAAGAAGGUCUUCGGAUUGUAAAGCUCUUUAGGUUGGGAGGCGUUACCAACAGAAUAAGCACCGGCUAACUUCGUGCCAGCAGCAGCGGGAAUUC
rnacentral:rRNA from 1 species